UGCAACUCCCUAGAUGACAUCUGAGAAAAACCAGGAGAGCAACACAGAACUUUCUGGGGAGGUGUGGACUGUGGUGGCAUUCCCAAGACAAGCAGGCCACAGAUCAUCGGCAAUCUGAGCAUGGAAGCUGCCCUUGCAUUGGGAGAGCUUCACCCAAGCCCUGGGUUUGGGUCAGAAGAGCCUUUGGACUUACGGUCCAGGGAGACACCGAAGCAGUAGAGUGAAGGCCUUGUAUCUGCCUGUAUCCAGGAUUCCUUUCCCUGGGGUUUUGAGUGUUCAGCCGACUUACUGAAAACACCCAAGAAAAGAUAAUCUUAAAAAGGGCUAAACAAACCAAAAAGCAGCUAUGACGACAUUCCUCCCAGACAUACCCAGUAUGCCAGCAAGGGCCCAGGCAGCUCACGCCAUGAGCAACAGUAGGCUGACCUGUGCAGGUAACCAAGUCCUGACUUCAAGGAGUUUUGAUGUCCUAUCCAAGACAUUCCAGCAGAGUUCUGUAGGCACCAAGGGUCUGGCUGUGACAUCUCUCGGCUUAUCAUGCACCAGGAUCGGAUAAAAUAAUCACAUUGGUGAUGAAGACUUCCAGCCUGUCAAACUAUUUGGAGCUACAGUCACCCAUCCCAUGGGGAAACAGCUGCUGUGAUCUUUCAUACAACACACCCCACAUAUUGCAACAAUGGUGGGUGCUCGUGAAGCUGUGAGUAUGGAACCAUGUGAACGCUAGGGCUUUCAUAUUUCACUUCACUGGGUAAGCCCUAUGCAAGGUAUAACACAUGUCUGUUGACAUUCCAAAUCUGGUGGAUCAUAGAACUGGCCCAUCAGGGGAAGCUGGUCUCACUUCCUGUUUCCUCCUUCCUGCUCUCAAAUUUGGCUAGCCUGUUCUGUUCUCUUCCUCAGAUACUCCAGGCUCACUCCUCUAGUCCCUUCCUCUGCCUGAUGCUGCCUAAGGAACUGAUUCUCUUGCUGUGUAUUUGGAGGGAGGAGAUCCUGCCUGGUUCCAUUCUACUGUCUUUACAAGAACAAGAUUAGAGCCCUUUCCUGGCUUCGUGGCUCAAGCAACAUUUACACUGUUUGAUAUUUCUUGAUCUGUGAAAAUAACUUGGGGGAGCCCAACACAUCUGGCUUGAAUAAAUGAACCUGGAAACAAUAUCACAGACAAACACAAAACAUGAGAUGUCUCCAGCUAAGGAACCAAGGUGCUCCAGAGAGAUCUUGCAAGUAUGACCACCCUUGUGGUGUCCGGGUAAGCUGGCUGCAUCCUGCUUGCUGCAUUCCAUCCUGAGGUGUGAGCUAUCACCACGGAGAAGCUGAGUUCUGCAGUCUGGAAAGGGCCUGUACUAGACACAUAGACUUCCAGCCUUCCAGACGAUUUUGUGGGAACUACGGUGUUGUGAGAAUUCCUUCCUUGAGGAGACUCAAACAACAUCAGUCCCUCCUCACAAAUUCCCAAUGACAAACUUGAGUAUGAGACUACCAGAGUUCACCCAAGGGAACCCAUAGUACAAUGGCUUACUUACAGUUACACUGGAAAACUCCUGUCCAGCACGCAUGAUACCCACUUCACCCCCAAUGUCACAUAGAGUUCUCCCCAUUAAUCCUAUAUAGCUUCUGUACUCUAGUCUCUCCCCGGACCCCUGAAACCACAGGCAAAUAGGGCAGAUUUGCAGACAAAUGGCUGGGAGAGGUGGCUGGAAAUGCAGAUAAAUAUUUAGUAGCCACCUCCCUCUAUGAAGGAAUCUCAACAGUCCAUAGACCCAAAAGUGAUUGACACUUGGAAGCAGGCACAGGUGAUCUGAUGAUAAUAGUGAUUGUUAGACACUUGGUGGAUAGGACCUUACAACACUAGGACAUUCUUAAGCAGCUGGCCUCCUUGAUCAAGGACCUGCAUAGCCUGUUCAUAGGACAUGUGUGCCCUGGAGCACACAGAAAAUUUUAGUCAACUAAGUCAGGAAAAUAACCCUAUUGGUUUCCCACUCACAACUAGAGAUGGCUGUCUGCUUAAGGAGUAUGGGGCAGAUGCUAUAGGCUCUGCACAAUGCCUUCUCAGAGGAAAGGGGUUUGGGAUGUCACUGAAAUAAAUUUAGUCAAGAGACA